UUCCCCAUGAUUCUCAUGCAGGAAGUGUUGCUCAAGACCUGGGAAGUGAAAACUAGGAGCUGAUUUAGAUGUAUGGAAGGUGAGCUACUAGAAACCCCUAACCUUAUUCUCAGACUCUCUUGUACUCUGGAUUCUUAUGAAUGUUAUUGUCGCUGUUUAUUGAAUGUUGUUUCGAAUAUAUCCAAGAUUUAAUGGCUCUCCAUUAUAGUCUAAAAAGAUAAGCCUGAAAAGAACUUUGUGUGUUCUCCUACUGGUGUGUUUAGACUACUGAAAUUAGGCUACUUACUUGCCUUUUAUCUAAAAUAGGGAUGGCCAAAAACAUAACCAAAGAGAACAUAAAGAACAUUCAGACAAAAAAAAAGAUAAUCUCUUCACCUCUUCAUCACAUGCAGUUUGUUGAAAGUUAUGAAGUUUGUUGUUUUUGUUGAGUUCAAGGUUACUUUACAAAGUCUGUUUGUUUGGUCUGUUGUCACCGUUGCAACGGUUUGGCAGACAUUUUGAAACGAAACUCCUAACUCUUUUCCUCUUGUGUCCUGCACCCUCCUGUAGUGUAUCCAUUCUUGUCAUCACAAUCAGUUGGGAAUAUAAUCUUAACUUUACAUUUUUUUUUUUUUUUUUAAUAAAACCCUCCAGUCCAAGGGAGACCAUUGCCUCCUCCCCUCAGAGGGGACCUUAAAAGACUCUCCAUCUGGAGGUAUGGGGCCCUCUUGACUCAGCUGAACCACACCUCAGAAAGAUCUCGUGUGUUUUGAAACACAAAUAAAAGUCUCUAGACUGCAAUCCCUCACAUGUCACAUUUUCACUAAAAGAAAGAAGACUGCAUAUUCAAGUAGUCGUAACUUCAAAAAACGCCACGAUCUAAGUAAAAAAUGUCAGUUCAGUGACAUUGUAUAAACUACAGGUCUACAUCAGGUCUAUGGAACAGGCCAUGUAUAGACCACAUUCAGUGAUCAGGUCUACAUCAGGUCUAUGGAACAUGCCAUGUAUAGACUACAUUGUUUUUCUCUGUGGGAUGUGUCACUCAGCUUGAGCUUUAAGUUGUGACCAAGCUAUAAUCAAUUAAUACUGCUUUUCCAUUGACUGUUGUUGUACAGCACAAUACAAUACAAUGCAGAACAGUACACUCUGGAGGAGUACCUGUCACCUCAACUAGUACCCAUGAAGGUAGGCGGGGUCGACGGCAGAUUUGGGUUUGGUUACAAUAUCUCAAGUGACACGCUUACAAACAAUGAAGGAGCUCUAAGGUUGGAUGUACCUCUUGCUAGAUAGGCUAUGAUGACUCAAAUGACAGAAAGAUACAGGACAGGAACUGCAGCAGUCAAGGAAAAGACUGUUGAAAGAAAAAACAAGAGCAUUGAGGAAAUCGUGCUGCUUCUUGCAGAUGAUGAAUAGAAAUAUAUGUGAGAGUCUGGCCGGGACGCACUUUAUUCGGCUACUUCACCUGUUGCAUCUGUAAUUACUGACUUUCAUAUAAAUCCAAUUCAAUUCAUUUCAUUUUUUUAUAGCACCAAAACAAUAAAAUGAGCUCUAGGCACUUUACAGAGCACAGGGCCUGAACCCCCUGGAUUGAAACCUCACACUGACUGACUGGCUAUAUUUUCACAUAAAGAUGCACACUAGUGGUGUCAGACCGGUUGGUAUUUAUUAAAGUGGACUUACUUUCAUCAAAGUUUCAAUACAAGAGAAUAAAGGGAAUUUUCAGCUGAAGUUCCAAUGUAAAUCAAAAGUUCUACUACGGCUCCAUAGUGGAAUACUUGCAUUUACAUUUGUCAAUGUGGGAUCGCCAACUAAGGUUACAUUCUCUCAGGAAUAGGUUCUAAAUAAGCAUAGCCGAGGUUUCGUUUAAACACUCAUGGGAGAAAAACAGUCCAGAUUAUUAACUUGGUGGCAUCAACAAGUAGCUUAAUAUUUGCUCAUAAAAUGCCUCA
ensembl:lncRNA